UCGGGAAUUUUGGGCAAUGGGCGAAAGCCUGACCCAGCAACGCCGCGUGGAGGAUGAAGGUCUUCGGAUCGUAAACUCCUGUCAGAUGGGGCGAAGGUCCACUGCCUAAUACGCAGUGGUCUUGACGGUACCAUCAGAGGAAGCCACGGCUAACUCUGUGCCAGCAGCCGCGGUAAUACAGAGGUGGUGAGCGUUAUUCGGAAUUAUUGGGCGUAAAGGGUGCGUAGGUGGCCCUGUAAGUCAGUGGUGAAAUAUCUCAGCUUAACUGAGAGGGUGCCAUUGAUACUGCAGGGCUUGAGUACAGAUGAGGUAGGCGGAAUUGACGGUGUAGCGGUGAAAUGCAUAGAUAUCGUCAAGAACACCGAUAGCGAAGGCAGCUUACCAAGCUGUAACUGACACUGAGGCACGAAAGUGUGGGGAUCAAACAGGAUUAGAUACCCCCGAGUCCCUGAGCGGGCUGGCAAGGCG
rnacentral:rRNA from 1 species